rnacentral:rRNA from 1 species
GACGAACGCUGGCGGCGUGCUUAACACAUGCAAGUCGAACGGAAAGGCCUUGCUUUUGUGGGGUGCUCGAGUGGCGAACGGGUGAGUAACACGUGAGUAACCUGCCCUUGACUUUGGGAUAACUUCAUGAAACUGGGGCUAAUACCGGAUAGGAGCUCCUGCUGCAUGGUGGGGGUUGGAAAGUUUCGGCGGUUGGGGAUUGACUCGCGGCUUAUCAGCUUGUUGGUGGGGUAGUGGCUUACCAAGGCUUUGACGGGUAGCCGGCCUGAGAGGGUGACCGGCCACAUUGGGACUGAGAUACGGCCCAGACUCCUACGGGAGGCAGCAGUGGGGAAUGUUGCACAAUGGGCGGAAGCCUGAUGCAGCAACGCCGCGUGCGGGAUGACGGCCUUCGGGUUGUAAACCGCUUUCGCCUGUGACGAAGCGUGAGUGACGGUAAUGGGUAAAGAAGCACCGGCUAACUACGUG